CGAACACCAACAGCAACACCCAAACAAGGAAUUUGAUGAAGACAAUGGAGCAAAGCGAAAGGGAAACACAAAAUGGAAGAACAGAAUUGAAAAAAUAAGGCCAAGAAGCCUCAGAAACAGGGCAUCGCCUGAGCAGAAGCGCGAAAUGCGGAGUUUCUCUCCACCGGCUCUCACGAGAGGAAGGGGAAUAACGGAGCCCCCUGUUUCAUUAUAGCCUUUGCAGAAACGAUAUCAAAAUUCAAUAGUCCAAGGCAUAGCCGUUGCAGAAACCAUACCAAUAUCGAUGGUGUAGGGGUUGAGGAGAUGCUGUAAGAUCUCCGGUUAGAUUUCCCCUCAUCUUGGCCGAUCAUCACCAAGGCAACAGCUGAUAGCACACUUCAGUGACUUUACAGACGAGCUUGGCUGGGAUACUGAGCCUCUUUUUCCCCUCCCAAAUGAAGAUGCUACAAAAAUAGAGUUAAUAUGGAGAACAACGAAGCAGGUCUACGCUACACUGACCAUCUGUACCACAGCUCGUUACCAUCAGACGAAGAAGUAUCUGAUGAUGAUUGCUUAUUACGAAUUGGGGAAGAUAAGGAAGGGCUAUUUUGUGAUGGAGGAGAGAAAGGGCUUGGUCAAACAUCUGAAAUUGGUAAUGAUAAAUGUUAUAUGAUGGAUAUGGAGUUGUUAGAAGGAACGAAUGUAGGUGAGUGUGUAGACUUAAAUGGCAAGGAUUACAGUAAUUUGAAUAUGGAUGACAUGAAGGAUGUUGUGUUCAGCAGCGUAUGUGAAGCUGAAAAGUUCUAUCAUUUAUACUCUCGUGUUAUUGGAUUCAGCACAAGGAGGGACAGGAAGGUUAGAGCAUAUCGUUCCGAAUUUGUCAUAAGAAGGGAGUGGGUAUGUUGAUGUUCGAAACAGGGCAAAGCAACAAUUAAGGUCAAGAAACAGGGAGUGAAAGAAAAGGGGAAGAGUCUGAUCCAAGCUGAGAAGAAGAAGAUGAAGAGGAAUCAAUGCCCAAGGGGGUAAAAGAUAUAGCCGAGUUGGAUGCAUGGCCGCAUUUGGAAUUCGAUACUGCAAGGAAAGGAAGAAGUUCGUAUCAAAGUUCAUAACCAAUCACAAUCAUGAUGUUGCUGUUUCGGAAGAGGUUCAGUUCCUUCGUUCUCACCAAGGAGUGAAUGACAGCGUCAUUGCCCAGGUUGAGGCUCUAUAGAAAGCACAAGUGCACAUAAGCCGGAUAUAUGAACUCCUUGUUGAGCAAGCAGGUGGGCAACAAUUUCUGCCGUUCACCCUCAAAGAUUUGUACAAUGAACUUGAUAAGAGGAAGAAAGCAGCGGGCUUAGAUGGGGAUGCUCAUUCUGCCAUCACUUGGAUGCAAAUCAGGGCAUUGGAGGAAAAACAAUUCUACUGCAAGUAUACAAUAGAUAAAGAGGGAAAGUUGGCAAACUUGUUUUGGCGGGACCGGCAAUCUCUGUUGGACUACAAUGCAUAUGGUGAUGUACUAAUUAUGGACAGUACUUACAAAACCAAUAUAUAUGGAAAGCCUCUGGUUGUCUUUGUCGGGUGCAAUAACCACUGAGCCACUGUUGUUUAUGGGUUUUCCCUUAUAGGCGAUGAGAAGGAGGACACUUAUAGUUGGGUAUUUCAAAAUUUUUUGGCAGCAAUGAACCAAAAGCACCCGAUAUCCGUUUUAACAGAUGGGGACGAGGCAAUAAGGAAUGUUGUGGAAAAUUUAAUGCCAACAGCCAGACAUAGAUUAUGUGCGUGGCACAUUGGGCGAAAUAUUGGUCAAAAUGUGAAGGUUGAGGAAGUGCAGGUGAGCAUUGGGAAGCUGAUUUAUGCUUCUUUAACGGUUCAAGAGUGGGAGGCUGCUUGGCACACACUUGUUCAGACACACGGACUUGCAAACAAUGCAUGGGUAACUUCUUUGUAUAACAAGCGGGAACGGGGAUACCUCUCUUGGUGCCCCAAGUUCCUCUUUAUAUUGAUGAAUCCUUGGCCAAUUAAGGAUAGCAUCAUGUGCAUUGAUACGGGGAUACCUAAACCAAUUACCUUAAUAGACCUUUUUCUGGAACCCCGAGAACCCUAGCUGAUUUACCAUACCAAAACUCUUGUUUGCCAAGUUAAUUAUGAUUUUAUGAGACAAACAUAAACACGGAUUUCUCAA